rnacentral:rRNA from 1 species
GACGAACGCUGGCGGCGUGCCUAAUACAUGCAAGUAGAACGCUGAAGGAGGAGCUUGCUUCUCUGGAUGAGUUGCGAACGGGUGAGUAACGCGUAGGUAACCUGCCUGGUAGCGGGGGAUAACUAUUGGAAACGAUAGCUAAUACCGCAUAAGAGUAGAUGUUGCAUGACAUUUGCUUAAAAGGUGCAAUUGCAUCACUACCAGAUGGACCUGCGUUGUAUUAGCUAGUUGGUGAGGUAACGGCUCACCAAGGCAACGAUACAUAGCCGACCUGAGAGGGUGAUCGGCCACACUGGGACUGAGACACGGCCCAGACUCCUACGGGAGGCAGCAGUAGGGAAUCUUCGGCAAUGGACGGAAGUCUGACCGAGCAACGCCGCGUGAGUGAAGAAAGGUUUUCGGGAUCGUAAAAGCUCUGUUGUAAAGAGAAAGUAC